GGUUGCGAUCAUACCAGCAUUAAUGCACCGGAUCCCAUCAGAACUCCGCAGUUAAGCGUGCUUGAGCGAGAGUAGUACUAGGAUGGGUGACCCCCUGGGAAGUCCUCGUGUUGCAACCC
rnacentral:rRNA from 1 species